AUGGAGAACCGAAAGAAUACCGGCCUCAGGAAGAGGAAGCUUCCGAACGAUGGGACGGUGCAGGAGCAGGAGCCUACUAUCAAGGAGAUGUGCCAAGCCCUGAAGGAGAUGGAAAGUGAGCUCCAGAACCUCCGGGACGACAACAACCAGCUCCGCGACGAGCUCCUUGGCAAAGACCGGCAGCUUGCGGAGACACGGACAGUUCUAGUUGACAGGGAGCACAAGCUUUCGAACACCCAGGCACUUCUAGUUGACAGGGAGCAGCAGCUUGCGGCCCAGACACUUGUUGUUGACACAAAGGAGUUUGAAACUGAAAUUUUGAGGCUUAAGCGUCUCUUGGCUGAGAAGAGUGACACAAAUGAUCAUACAGCUCUAGUGUCUCCUGAGACAAUAAAUGAAGUCAUACAGAAGCAAACUCCAGUUUCAUCUGCAAGGACACCAGCGUCAAACAGAACGAAUACAGUCCAGUCCAGUGUGAAAGCCAUUGCCCACCAUGGUAGCUUUCAGGAUGAAGCUAGCGAGGACUGCUGUAGAAGGGGUGUUUGCAGCUCAGGGAGUGGGACAGAUGAAAGUUCCCGUUCUUGUGUGUAUCAUAUGCUGGUUGAAUCUUUAGUUGGCAUGAAGUUUUCACUGAAGGAUGAAACAGAAGGACUCUCACUUUCAAUCCAUCAUGAAGCUACUGGUUAUGAUUUCAGCCUUACAUGGUUGGAGCAAGCGGAUGGUGGUGAAUGGGCCUACAAAUACUCCUCGCUGGGCACCCUGGAGGAGAUGGCUUUGAAGUGGAUGAAAGUGCAGGACAUACGGUUCAGCAUGGACAUGUUCCCUAUGUUCUUCGAGCGGAUAUCGAGCCUCCUCAGAAGGAAGUGUCCUUGGUAUUUCAGGAUGGCCGAAGAUGGUUUCGGUCUGUUCCUUUAG
rnacentral:rRNA from 1 species